rnacentral:misc_RNA from 1 species
GGGAUGCCUUCUAUACGUUCCGUUGGUGAUCUUCCACAAGAGCUUCAUUGUCCCUUGUGUAAAGAAGUAAUGAAAGAUGCAGUGUUAACAAGCAAGUGUUGUUUUAGCAGUUACUGCGAUAAAUGCAUAAGGGAUCAUAUCAUCUCGAAGUCGGUGUGUGUCUGUGGGGCCACAAAUAUACUUGCUGAUGACCUGUUACCCAACAAGACUGUGAGGGAUACAAUUAAUAGAAUAUUGGAAUCAAAUAAUAGCAGUGCAGAGCAUGGGGGUAGUGCUCUCCAAGUUCAAGAUAUGGAGUCAGCGCGCAUUCUCCCACCAAAGAUUCCAUCUCCUUCACAAUCUGCAGCUUCAAGGGGUGAGCCGUUGCCACCACCACCACCUCCUCCACCUGUUAAGGAGGAAAAUUCUAAAGCCCAGGAGAUUGCAG